CUAGCGUUGUUCGGAAUUACUGGGCGUAAAGCGCGCGUAGGCGGACCUGCAAGUCGGGGGUGAAAGCCCGAGGCUCAACCUCGGAACUGCCUUCGAUACUGCGGGUCUCGAGUCCGGGAGAGGUAAGUGGAAUUCCUAGUGUAGAGGUGAAAUUCGUAGAUAUUAGGAAGAACACCAGUGGCGAAGGCGGCUCACUGGCCCGGUACUGACGCUGAGGCGCGAAAGCUAGGGGAGCAAACGGG
rnacentral:rRNA from 1 species